rnacentral:rRNA from 1 species
UACGGAGGGUGCAAGCGUUAUCCGGAUUCACUGGGUUUAAAGGGUGCGUAGGCGGGUAUGUAAGUCAGUGGUGAAAUCCCCGAGCUUAACUCGGGAACUGCCAUUGAUACUAUAUAUCUUGAAUAUCCUGGAGGUCUGCGGAAUAUGUCAUGUAGCGGUGAAGUGCUUAGAGAUGACAUAGAACAUCGAUUGCGAAGGCAGCAGGCUACGGGAUGAUUGACGCUGAGGCACGAAAGCGUGGGGAUCAAACAGG